rnacentral:rRNA from 1 species
UAAGGAAUAUUGGUCAAUGGACGCAAGUCUGAACCAGCCAUGCCGCGUGAAGGAUGAAGGUCCUCUGGAUUGUAAACUUCUUUUAUCUGGGACGAAAACGGGAUUUUUAUCUCAAUUGACGGUACCAGAGGAAUAAGCACCGGCUAACUCCGUGCCAGCAGCCGCGGUAAUACGGAGGGUGCGAGCGUUAUCCGGAUUUACUGGGUUUAAAGGGUGCGUAGGUGGGCUUAUAAGUCAGUGGUGAAAUCUCCGAGCUUAACUUGGAAACUGCCGUUGAUACUAUAGGUCUUGAAUUAUAUGGAGGUAAGCGGAAUAUGUCAUGUAGCGGUGAAAUGCUUAGAUAUGACACAGAACACCAAUUGCGAAGGCAGCUUACUACAUAUAAAUUGACGCUGAGGCACGAAAGCGUGGG